rnacentral:lncRNA from 1 species
UCACCCCCAUCAUCUCCCCUCCCUCCCAGUCAUCCUCCCUCCAAGUCAUUCUUCCUCUCCCCAGUCAUCCUACCUCCCAGUCAUCCUCCCUCUCCCCAGUCAUCCUACCUCCCAGUCAUCCUCCCUCUCCCCAGUCAUCCUACCUCCCAGUCAUCCUCCCUCUCCCCAGUCAUCCUACCUCCCAGUCAUCCUAACUCUCCCAAGUCAUCCUCACUCUCCCAUUCAUCCCUCCCCAGUCAUCCUCCCCCUCCCCAGUCAUCCCUCCCCAGGCAUCCUCCCUUUCCCCAGUCAUCCCUCCCCAGACUUCGUCCCCCUGCCCAGUCAUCCUCCCUCUCCCUAGUCAUCCCUCUCCAGUCAUCCUCCCUCUCCCCAGCAACCCUCCCUCUCCCAAGUCAUCCUCCCUCUGCCCAGUCAUCCCUCCCCAGUCAUCAUCCCUCCCCAGUCAUCAUCCCUCCCCAGACAUCGUCCCUCUGCCCAGUCAUCCUCCCUCUCCCCAGUCAUCCCUCUCCAGUCAUCCUCCCUCUCCCAAGUCAUCCUCCCUCUGCCCAGUCAUCAUCCCUCCCCAGACAUCGUCCCUCUGCCCAGUCAUCCUCCCUCUCCCCAGCAAUCCUCCCUCUCCCCAGUCAUCCUCCCUCUCCCCAGUCAUCCUCCCUCUCCCCAGUCAUCCUCCCUCUCCCCAGUCAUCCUCCCUCCCAAGUCAUCAUCUCUCUGCCCAGUCAUCCUCCCUCUGCCCAGUCAUCCUCCCUCUCCCCAGUCAUCCUCCCUCUCCCCAGUCAUCCUCCCUCUCCCCAGUCAUCCUCCCUCUCCCCAGUCAUCCUCCCUCCCAAGUCAUCAUCUCUCUGCCCAGUCAUCAUCUCUCUGCCCAGUCAUCAUCACUCUGCCCAGUCAUCCUUCCUCUCCCCAGUCAUCCCUCCCACUCCCCAGUCAUCCCUCCCACUCCCCAGUCAUCCCUCCUACUCCCCAGUCAUCCCUCCCACUCCCCAGUCAUCCCUCCCACUCCCCAGUCAUCCCUCCUACUCCCCAGUCAUCCCUCCCACUCCCCAGUCAUCCCUCCCUCUCCCCAGUCAAUUCUAUCAGAAGGUUCAGAUGGAUCCUUACUGGACAGUGCAAUGCAGAUAUUUUAUCUCUUUAUAUGAGUGA